rnacentral:misc_RNA from 1 species
GAAAUGCGAUAAGUAAUGUGAAUUGCUGAAUUCAGUGAAUCAUCGAAUCUUUGAACGCACAUUGCGCCCGCCAGUAUUCUGGCGGGCAUGCCUGUUCGAGCGUCAUUUCAACCAUCAAGUCCCCGGCUUGUGUUGGGGACCUGCGGCUGCCCGCAGGCCCUGAAAAACAGUGGCGGGCUCGCUGUCACACCGAGCGUAGUAGCAUACAUUCUCGCUCAGGGCGUGCUGCGGGUUCCGGCCGUUAAACGACCUUCAUAACCCAAGGUUGACCUCGGAUCAGGUAGGAAGACCCGCUGAACUUAAGC